rnacentral:pre_miRNA from 1 species
CCCAGUUUGCUGAGGUCACUUGGUCAUGUGAUCAACCUGAGCUGCAGAAAGCUGGACU